rnacentral:rRNA from 1 species
CCUACGGGAGGCAGCAGUGAGGAAUAUUGGUCAAUGGGCGCGAGCCUGAACCAGCCAAGUAGCGUGAAGGAUGACUGCCCUAUGGGUUGUAAACUUCUUUUAUAUAGGAAUAAAAUGUUCCACGUGUGCCAUUUUGUAUGUACCAUAUGAAUAAGGAUCGGCUAACUCCGUGCCAGCAGCCGCGGUAAUACGGAGGAUCCGAGCGUUAUCCGGAUUUAUUGGGUUUAAAGGGAGCGUAGAUGGAUUGUUAAGUCAGUUGUGAAAGUUUGCGGCUCAACCGUAAAAUUGCAAUUGAAACUGGCAGCCUUGAGUACAGUAGAGGUGGGCGGAAUUCGUGGUGUAGCGGUGAAAUGCUUAGAUAUCACGAAGAACUCCGAUUGCGAAGGCAGUCUACUAGACUGCCACUGACACUGAGGCUCGAAAGUGUGGGUAUCAAACAGGAUUAGAUACCCGAGUAGUC